UCGUAACAAGGUUUCCGUAGGUGAACCUGCGGAAGGAUCAUUACCUAGAGUUGUAGGCUUUGCCUGCUAUCUCUUACCCAUGUCUUUUGAGUACCUUACGUUUCCUCGGCGGGUCCGCCCGCCGAUUGGACAAUUUAAACCAUUUGCAGUUGCAAUCAGCGUCUGAAAAAACUUAAUAGUUACAACUUUCAACAACGGAUCUCUUGGUUCUGGCAUCGAUGAAGAACGCAGCGAAAUGCGAUAAGUAGUGUGAAUUGCAGAAUUCAGUGAAUCAUCGAAUCUUUGAACGCACAUUGCGCCCCUUGGUAUUCCAUGGGGCAUGCCUGUUCGAGCGUCAUUUGUACCUUCAAGCUCUGCUUGGUGUUGGGUGUUUGUCUCGCCUCUGCGUGUAGACUCGCCUCAAAACAAUUGGCAGCCGGCGUAUUGAUUUCGGAGCGCAGUACAUCUCGCGCUUUGCACUCAUAACGACGACGUCCAAAAGUACAUUUUUACACUCUUGACCUCGGAUCAGGUAGGGAUACCCGCUGAACUUAAGCA
rnacentral:rRNA from 1 species